rnacentral:rRNA from 1 species
CUACGGGAGGCUCCAGUGGGGAAUAUUGCACAAUGGGCGCAAGCCUGAUGCAGCCAUGCCGCGUGUAUGAAGAAGGCCUUCGGGUUGUAAAGUACUUUCAGCGGGGAGGAAGGGAGUAAAGUUAAUACCUUUGCUCAUUGACGUUACCCGCAGAAGAAGCACCGGCUAACUCCGUGCCAGCAGCCGCGGUAAUACGGAGGGUGCAAGCGUUAAUCGGAAUUACUGGGCGUAAAGCGCACGCAGGCGGUUUGUUAAGUCAGAUGGGAAAUCCCCGGGCUCAACCUGGGAACUGCAUCUGAUACUGGCAAGCGUGAGUCUCGUAGAGGGGGGUAGAAUUCCAGGUGUAGCGGUGAAAUGCGUAGAGAUCUGGAGGAAUACCGGUGGCGAAGGCGGCCCCCUGGACGAAGACUGACGCUCAGGUGCGAAAGCGUGGGGAGCAAACAGGAUUAGAUACCCGAGUAGUC